rnacentral:lncRNA from 1 species
CAAACUUGAAAACCCUGACAGCUUAUUCUAAACCUCCUCCGCAUUUCAGAACUUUGUUUUCAAACUUGUCAAGCUUCAGUGACGAAUCUGCGUCACUACAGCUCAUAGUUACUGAUACAAAGGGUUCUAGAAUGAUGUUACGUGAGGUGUAGUGUGCGUGAUACAUAGUGGCUUAGUACGCCUUCGGAAUCUGCUUCUUCAUGUGAAUAACUUAUUUUCAGUGGUGGAUAUUAAUUAUACAUCUAGCGGAUGUGGACUGCUAUCACGCCAUAUUCUUCAUUCGGAUAUCAGACUGUUACAUGAAGGCCUCAUCAGCGCGUGAAAAGUUUUGGACAUGGCACAAUAGUGGUAUUUUAUGAGUAAAGGGAGUGACAUGCACAAUUUAAGGUUUUAGCUGACUUUGAUGUUGGUAUGGAACAGGGACGUGUAAGGACCAAAACCGUGAAGAAGGCCUCAAGGGUCAUGAUCGAGAGGUACUACUCUCGCAUGACCCUGGACUUCCAGACCAACAAGAAGAUUGCCGAGGAGGUGGCAAUCAUCCCGUCGAAGAGGCUCCGCAACAAGAUCGCCGGGUUCGCCACUCACCUGAUGAAGCGCAUCCAGAGAGGGCCAGUGCGCGGAAUCUCUCUGAAGCUGCAGGAGGAGGAGCGCGAGAGGCGCAUGGACUUCGUGCCGGAGGAGUCAGCGAUCAAGACUGACGUGAUCGAGGUGGAUAGGGAGACGAUCGAGCUGUUGGCUCACCUGAACAUGCCUCAGCUGCCGGGAGUGGUGCAGCAGGCAGCCCCUACCGCGGGAGGAGGGUUCUUCAAGCCCCAGGGGGGAGGAUACCAAGGCAACAGGAACAGGAAUUAGAUGAUAGCGAGAGGUUUGAUCAUGUAGCCAGGUUCUGUGCAUGCUGGGUGCGGCUCCUUUUUCGUUGUUUGAAGAAAUGUAGUUAAUCCCCCCCUACAUCAUUCAACUCGGCCCUGGGCAGAAAACUCCUAGCUUGGCUGCUUCACCGAAAUGACGCUGCAUGCUUGUUUAACCAGAUUCUGUUUACUAGAUUCACUCUCAUUGAAGCACUUGGCUGUACUUCUGAAACCUCUAACGCUGUAAUGCACAGAUGCUUACCACUCGCUGUGAGCUCCACGUGCACGAAUUCACAUAUUGUCCAGUCCCAUGUGUUUGUUUCAGGAAUGUUACCUUGGCAUUGUACUUAAUCCCUAAGAAAUGAAUUCUUCAAAAAGCGCUAAUCACAAAAGGUGAAGCAUGUGCUGUGAAGUC